rnacentral:rRNA from 1 species
CAGUAGCCACGGGAAUACGGAGGGAGCUAGCGUUGUUCGGAAUUACUGGGCGUAAAGCGCGCGUAGGCGGUUACUCAAGUCAGAGGUGAAAGCCCGGGGCUCAACCCCGGAACUGCCUUUGAAACUAGGUGACUAGAAUCUUGGAGAGGUCAGUGGAAUUCCGAGUGUAGAGGUGAAAUUCGUAGAUAUUCGGAAGAACACCAGUGGCGAAGGCGACUGACUGGACAAGUAUUGACGCUGAGGUGCGAAAGCGUGGGGAGCAAACAGGAUUAGAGACCCCCGUAGUCCCUGUCUCUUAUAC